CGGCUCCGCCCCCGGCCCCCUCCCGCCGGGUCAACCCCGAAGAGUCGCCGGUGGCCGCGGCAGACGGAAGCCGAACGAGUGCCUCGGCGGCUGCAGGAUGGGGGACUCCAAAGUGAAAGUGGCGGUGCGGAUACGACCCAUGAACCGGCGAGAGACUGACUUGCAUACCAAAUGUGUGGUGGAUGUGGAUGCAAACAAGGUUAUUCUUAAUCCUGUAAAUACGAAUCUUUCCAAAGGAGAUGCCCGGUGUUUGCUUAUGAUCAUUGUUUCUGGUCUAUGGAUGAAUCUGUCAAAGAAAAGUAUGCAGGUCAAGAUAUUGUUUUCAAGUGCCUUGGGGAGAAUAUCCUGCAGAAUGCUUUUGAUGGCUACAAUGCAUGUAUCUUUGCCUAUGGACAGACUGGAUCUGGAAAAUCUUAUACCAUGAUGGGCACAGCUGACCAACCUGGAUUAAUCCCAAGACUUUGCAGUGGACUCUUUGAACGAACUCAGAAAGAGGAAAAUGAAGAACAGAGUUUUAAAGUAGAAGUGUCCUACAUGGAAAUUUAUAAUGAAAAAGUUCGAGACCUUCUUGAUCCCAAAGGAAGCCGUCAGACGUUGAAAGUCAGAGAGCAUAGUGUGUUGGGACCUUAUGUCGACGGACUUUCUAAACUGGCUGUCACAAGCUACAAGGAUAUUGAGUCGUUGAUGUCUGAGGGUAACAAAUCUCGCACAGUUGCUGCAACCAACAUGAACGAGGAGAGUAGCCGAUCCCAUGCAGUUUUCAAAAUCACCCUCACACAUACUCUCUACGAUGUGAAGUCUGGGACAUCUGGAGAGAAAGUGGGCAAACUCAGCCUGGUGGAUUUAGCUGGCAGUGAACGAGCAACGAAGACAGGCGCUGCAGGGGACAGGCUGAAGGAAGGGAGCAACAUUAACAAGUCCCUCACAACCCUCGGUCUGGUUAUCUCAGCUCUUGCAGAUCAGAGUGCUGGCAAAAACAAGAAUAAAUUUGUUCCAUAUCGUGACUCAGUUCUCACUUGGCUGCUCAAAGACAGCCUCGGGGGUAACAGCAAGACCGCCAUGGUGGCUACUGUGAGUCCUGCAGCUGAUAACUAUGAUGAAACCCUCUCAACUCUGCGGUAUGCAGAUCGAGCCAAGCACAUUGUAAACCACGCUGUGGUGAAUGAGGACCCUAAUGCCCGAAUUAUCCGGGAUCUCCGGGAAGAAGUUGAGAAACUCCGGGAGCAGCUGACCCAAGCAGAGGCAAUGAAAUCUCCAGAGCUAAAGGACCGGCUGGAAGAAUCUGAGAAGCUAAUCCAGGAAAUGACUGUGACCUGGGAGGAGAAAUUAAGGAAAACGGAGGAGAUUGCACAGGAACGACAGAAACAGCUUGAGAGUCUUGGAAUAUCUCUUCAGUCUUCGGGAAUCAAAGUUGGGGAUGAUAAAUGCUUCCUUGUGAAUCUGAAUGCUGACCCAGCUCUGAAUGAGCUUCUGGUGUACUAUUUAAAGGAACAUACAUUGAUAGGGUCAGCAAAUUCCCAAGAUAUCCAACUGUGCGGCAUGGGGAUUCUUCCUGAACACUGUAUUAUAGACAUCACGUCAGAAGGCCAGGUUAUGCUGACUCCUCAGAAGAACACCAGAACAUUUGUAAAUGGGUCAUCUGUCUCCAGUCCAAUACAGCUACACCAUGGGGACAGGAUAUUAUGGGGAAACAACCAUUUCUUCAGACUCAAUUUGCCUAAAAAGAAAAAGAAAGCAGAACGAGAGGAUGAGGACCAGGAUCACUCCAUGAAGAACGAGAAUAGUUCUGAGCAGCUGGAUGUAGACGGAGACUCCUCCAGCGAGGUGUCCAGUGAAAUUAACUUUAAUUACGAAUACGCACAGAUGGAGGUCACCAUGAAGGCCCUGGGCAGCAAUGAUCCGAUGCAGUCCAUAUUAAACAGCCUAGAACAACAGCAUGAAGAAGAAAAACGAUCUGCACUGGAGCGCCAGAGGCUUAUGUAUGAGCACGAAUUGGAGCAGCUCCGGAGACGGCUGUCUCCUGAGAAGCAGAACUGCCGGAGCAUGGACAGGUUUUCUUUCCACUCGCCCAGCGCUCAGCAACGCUUAAGACAGUGGGCUGAGGAGAGAGAAGCAACGUUGAAUAACAGCCUGAUGAGGCUGAGGGAACAAAUUGUUAAGGCCAAUCUAUUGGUGAGAGAAGCUAAUUACAUUGCUGAGGAGCUGGAUAAAAGAACAGAAUACAAAGUUACCCUACAGAUUCCAGCCUCCAGCCUGGAUGCCAACAGGAAGCGAGGCUCUCUUCUUAGUGAGCCUGCAAUCCAGGUGAGAAGAAAAGGAAAAGGAAAACAGAUUUGGUCUUUGGAAAAACUGGACAACAGGCUGUUGGAUAUGAGAGACCUUUAUCAGGAGUGGAAAGAGUGUGAAGAAGAUAACCCAGUAAUACGAUCGUACUUCAAACGUGCUGAUCCAUUCUAUGAUGAGCAGGAAAAUCACAGUCUCAUUGGGGUGGCCAAUGUCUUCCUCGAGUCCCUUUUCUAUGAUGUGAAGUUACAAUACGCUGUUCCCAUCAUCAACCAGAAAGGAGAGGUGGCAGGUCGGCUGCAUGUGGAGGUGAUGCGACUCAGUGGUGAUGUUGGGGAGAGGAUCGCAGGAGGCGAUGAGGUGGCAGAGGUCUCCUUUGAGAAGGAGACCCAGGAGAACAAACUGGUGUGCAUGGUUAAAAUCCUGCAAGCUACUGGGUUGCCUCAGCAUCUGUCCCACUUUGUGUUCUGCAAAUACAGCUUCUGGGAUCAACAGGAGCCGGUGAUUGUCGCUCCUGAAGUGGACACCUCCUCCUCUUCCGUCAGCAAGGAGCCGCACUGCAUGGUUGUCUUUGAUCAUUGCAAUGAGUUUUCUGUUAACAUCACCGAAGACUUUAUCGAGCAUCUUUCCGAAGGAGCAUUGGCAAUUGAAGUAUAUGGACAUAAAAUAAACGAUCCCCGGAAAAACCCCGCCCUGUGGGAUUUGGGAAUCAUCCAAGCAAAGACACGUAGCCUUCGGGACAGAUGGAGUGAAGUGACCAGGAAAUUGGAAUUCUGGGUUCAAAUCUUGGAACAGAAUGAGAAUGGUGAAUACUGCCCUGUAGAAGUGAUUUCUGCAAAGGACGUCCCAACAGGAGGAAUCUUCCAGCUCCGGCAGGGGCAGUCCCGGAGAGUUCAAGUCGAAGUGAAGUCAGUGCAGGAAUCUGGGACUUUACCACUGAUGGAAGAAUGUAUACUGUCUGUUGGCAUUGGAUGUGUCAAAGUUAGACCGCUCAGAGCCCCCAGAACACAUGAGACCUUCCAUGAGGAAGAGGAAGACAUGGACAGCUACCAGGAUCGAGAUUUAGAGAGACUUCGUAGAAAAUGGCUAAAUGCAUUAACAAAACGUCAGGAGUACUUGGAUCAACAAUUGCAAAAGCUUGUCAGUAAACGUGAUAAAACAGAGGAUGAUGCUGACCGUGAAGCGCAGCUUCUGGAGAUGCGGUUGACCCUAACUGAGGAGAGGAACGCGGUGAUGGUCCCCUCUGCUGGCAGUGGUAUUCCAGGGGCCCCAGCAGAAUGGACCCCAGUACCUGGGAUGGAGACACACAUUCCUGUUAUAUUCCUGGACUUAAAUGCUGAUGAUUUCAGCUCUCAGGAUAAUCUUGAUGACCCAGAAGCUGGUGGAUGGGAUGCGACCUUGACUGGGGAAGAAGAAGAGGAGUUCUUUGAAUUGCAGAUUGUGAAGCAGCAUGAUGGGGAGGUGAAAGCAGAAGCCUCCUGGGACUCCGCGGUGCAUGGCUGCCCUCAGCUCAGCAGGGGCACGCCCGCGGACGAGCGGUUGUUCCUGAUCGUGCGCGUGACGGUCCAGCUCAGCCACCCUGCUGACAUGCAACUGGUGUUACGCAAGAGAAUCUGUGUCAAUGUUCACGGCCGCCAGGGUUUUGCACAGAGUCUCCUAAAAAAGAUGUCUCAUCGAAGUUCUAUUCCUGGCUGUGGAGUGACUUUUGAAAUUGUCUCCAAUAUUCCAGAGGAUGCCCAGGGAGUGGAGGAACGGGAAGCAUUAGCAAGAAUGGCAGCCAAUGUUGAAAACCCAGCUUCUGCUGACUCGGAGGCUUAUAUUGAAAAGUACCUCAGGAGCGUGCUGGCUGUAGAAAACCUCCUGACUUUAGAUCGUCUGCGCCAGGAAGUUGCGGUGAAGGAACAGUUAACAGGAAAAGGAAAGUUGAGCAGGAGGAGUAUCAGUUCUCCAAAUGUGAACAGAUUGUCUGGAAGCCGACAAGAUCUCAUUCCAUCAUACAGUCUAGGCAGCAACAAGGGCCGGUGGGAAAGUCAGCAGGAUGUAUCCCAAACCACAGUUUCCAGAGGAAUAGCUCCUGCCCCCGCCCUCUCUGUUUCUCCCCAGAAUAACCAUUCUCCAGAUCCAGGACUCAGUAACCUCGCAGCAUCCUACUUGAAUCCUGUCAAAUCCUUCGUGCCGCAAAUGCCAAAGCUCCUCAAGUCUCUCUUUCCCGUCCGCGAUGAGAAGAGGGGCAAGCGGCCGUCUCCCCUCGCACACCAGGUCCUGGCCCUCCAGCCUGUGCAGCGGAAGCCUUUCUGCUACCCCUGUUCUGUCCUCUCGACCCCUGACCUGCACACUUGCCUCCUCAGCCCGUGCCCUGCAUCAUGGUGCAGUCAGCCAGCCCGGACAUCAGGGUGACCAGGAUGGAGGAGGCUCAGCCGGAGAUGGGCCCUGACGUGCUGGUGCAGACGAUGGGGGCCCCGGCCUUGAAGAUCUGCGACAAACCUGCCAAAGUGCCUUCCCCGCCGCCUGUCAUAGCUGUCACAGCGGUCACCCCGGCUCCGGAGGCACAGGACGGGCCCCCCAGCCCCCUGAGUGAAGCCUCUAGUGGGUACUUCUCCCACAGCGUCUCCACCGCGACCCUGUCGGACGCCCUGGGCCCCGGCCUGGACGCUGCGGCCCCGCCGGGGUCCAUGCCCACCGCCCCUGAGGCCGAGCCCGAGGCGCCCAUCAGCCACCCCCCACCGCCCACGGCCGUCCCCGCCGAGGAGCCCCCUGGCCCCCAGCAGCUCGUGAGCCCCGGCCGGGAGCGCCCCGACCUCAAGGCCCCGGCGCCCGGCUCCCCGUUCCGCGUCCGGAGGGUGCGGGCCUCGGAGUUGCGCUCCUUCUCGCGCAUGCUGGCUGGGGACCCCGGCUGCUCCCCGGGGGCCGAGGGGAAUGCGCCGGCCCCGGGCGCCGGGGGACAGGCCCUGGCCUCUGAUUCCGAGGAAGCUGACGAGGUCCCGGAGUGGCUCCGAGAGGGCGAGUUCGUCACCGUGGGCGCCCACAAAACGGGCGUGGUUAGAUACGUGGGGCCCGCCGACUUCCAAGAGGGCAUGUGGGUCGGCGUGGAGCUCGACCUGCCCUCAGGUAAGAAUGACGGUUCCAUCGGCGGGAAGCAGUACUUCAGGUGUAACCCUGGCUAUGGGCUGCUGGUCAGGCCCAGCCGGGUCCGCAGGGCCACGGGCCCUGUGCGGCGGCGCAGCACAGGACUCCGGCUGGGUGCCCCCGAGGCCCGCCGGAGCGCCACCCUCUCGGGCUCCGCCACCAACCUGGCCUCGCUGACAGCUGCCCUGGCCAAGGCCGACAGGAGCCACAAGAACCCUGAGAACCGGAAAUCCUGGGCCAGCUGAGCCGCCGCCUUAGGGCGAACUUUUCUGGGGGUGCCCGGCCCCUUUUGAGCCCUGCCAGUGACAGCCCUGAGGAGCCAGGAGCCCGGUGGCCCCUUCCCCAGGGGCAGGGCGAUGAAUGCUUUUUGCACGACACAGGGCUGGUGACCUCCCUGGGCCUCUGGAAGCUUUGUUUCUUCUGUACCCGGGUAAAGUGGGGGCCUCAACUGUGCCUCCUCAGGUGGAUGGAAGGUUCUGGGUGCCCGCAGGGGCUGGGGGAUGCUAGGACUGAGACCCUGGGUGGUGCAGCGCCUGGUGAUCUUGCUGUGUGCCUGUGCCUGGGGCCUUAUGUUGCUCUUUCUAUCAUUUCCAUUCUGGUGGCCCCACUAAUGUCUUAACCUAAACCAUAAUUGUAACCAGUGCCUUUCCUCCCCACUGGAGGGCAAGCCCCCCCACCCACCCAGGAUGUCCUGGCUCACUCCGCAAGCCCCCCAGCCUCCCACCCUGGUCCCAGUUUCCCGCAAGUGCCUCUGGGGGACCCCCCAGCCUCCCACCCUGGUCCCAGGUUCCACAAGUGCCUCUGGAGGGCCCUGGGCUGUGGCAGAUGGUCCUGGUGCCCCAGACGGGGGCCGAGGGCCUGAGCCCCCCCAUCCCUCCUUUGCCAGGGUUUCUUAGCGGUUUAUCUGUGGAUGUUUUGGCAUCUUUACACCUGGAAAGUCUCUUAUGUUUGCCGUUUAUUCCCUUCACAGAAGGCUUGGAAUGUAUUUAUUUAUAUUUAUUUUUUCAAAAUCCGAAAUCAUUUGCGAGCCGCAAUCGUCAUCUGCCUUUGUAGGGGGGCCCAGGGCCUGCCUUGCACGUUGCAGCCUCUCUGGCCAUUGCAGAGCUGCUGGCCUCCUGCCCAGGUGGAGGGUCCUGGGGACGGCAGAGGAUAAAGCCCCCUCCUCACAUCCCUCUAUUGCGGAUCCACAGUGGCCUUACUCUUAACUUGGAUGAGAGCAAAAACCUGGGAGAAUGAUGGCUUCUGUAGUCGGUGACAAAGGAAGAGGCAUUGCUACUUUAUUUGGUGCACUUUUGGUUUCUAGGAAGGUCUUUGGGUCAUUUUAACUUCUUGGCAACUCCCAGACUCUCAGAAUGUGGGGCUGGGGCCUGGCGGCUGGGCUGGUGCAGGGAGUGUGCUGGUUUGUCUCCAGACCCUCACAGCAGCCACGUCCCCAGGCCCACCGUGCAUGGUGCGGGCGGGACAGCCGGAAGCUUCCGGGGUGGCCUCCACCUCCUUGCUGGGGCACUUAUGCUCCCAGAGCCUUUGGUGCCAGGUUUGUGGGAUGGGGGUUAGCGUCUAUAUGUGGAAGGCCACCGAUCUAGGGACAGGAGUCCUGGGUCAAGAUUCACACAGCCACUCUUGGAGCUGGUUUCUAGUUCUCACAUUUAGUCAACAUCUAGAAAGCGCUGCGGAAGGCUCUGGUUCUCUAGGGACUUGAAGGCGCCAACAGAGUAGUCUCCAUGGUGGGCCUGUCCCAGCCCUGGCUGCGAGGACAGGUUGUCUUUCUCUCCCCAGUUGGCGAGGGCCACGAAGGCUGAGGCCCGGCUGGCAGAGGUCCCGGCCCCUGGGGGGAGGCACUCCUCCAGGGCUCUCCCUGUCCUUAGCCGAUUUUGAGGGAACCCUGUGGCACCUGUCCCUGGAUGAAGAGCUGUCACCUCUGCCUUGCCCUUUAACUCAACCCGCUUCCCAGCACAGCGGCUUUCUUUUUAAAACCUGUUUCACUGAGAAGUUUGUUUUUGGGUCCGCUGGUGUCACUGUGGCCUGGGUGAGAGGCCAGCACUGCUGCUGCCCUGAGGGGAAACGCCUGGGCCGUGUAGUGGGGACGCUCUGGGAAUGGUGGCGGAUGGGCAGCGUGGGUGGGACCUGGCACUUCGUGGUGGCUGAGCCAUCCCCCCAGCAGCGGCCUCCUAUAGCACCAUCUUGGGAAAGUCCUGGGGGACGUGUGUGUCGUGCUUUUUACCAUCGGUUUGACUUACAGUGGAGGAGAACGAGCCAGAGUUCCUGACUUGAGCAGGUGGAUUUGGGCCCAGGCCCUGUUCACUCUUGCUUCUCGGUGCGGACUAAUGUCAGCUUGUGGCUGGGAAAGAGGGAUGUGCAGUGACGUGGUCACCAAGGCAGUGAGCCCCGCUGACCCCGGGCCAGCACUUGGGAGGCAGGAGGUGCGGUCUCCAGAGUGGUGGGCCAGGGCGGGCUGGCCUCCGUCUUCUAUCUUCUUUUCUUGCCUCCCUGACCAGCAGACUCACCUCCCAAGAACGCCUGCCCGCCCACCCGCCUUAGGACUCCCGACGCGCUCCUGGAAGGCCCCAGGAGUGGCACCUUAGUGUGGGUCGGCCUGCAGAUGGCACCCAAGGCCGGGAAGGGCAGUAACUGCACAUGCGGCGCUGUCAGAGAUGGGGGUGGGGGAUGCUUCUGGGGGCCCUGCCUCCCCAUUGUGUGCCCAGAACAUCCCUGGCCCCACCCCGCCACUUCCCUCGGGCCCUUAUGAAGGACUGAGGCUCCAGGGUGAGAAGGCUCACUUCUGCCCCGGGCACUGCAUCCGGCAGCAGAGGGGACAGGAGGGCAGGUGUGUGACUGGGUUCCUGGGUACCCAGGCCUGACCAGAGGGAGCGGGAGGGCAGAGGUGAGGAGGGGGAAGAUGUUUCUGGGCCUACCAAGGUUCAACAAGAGAACGGAGCUGGGAAUGUGACUGCUGGAGCCUGAGAGGUGGAGGAGUUCUGAUCCCCCGUUACUUCCUAGCAUUUUCUCCUCUUGCCUUAAAGUUCCCUGUAUGUGAAACAGGAAGUCCUGAGAGUGUGUGUUGGUGGCUGUGCGCACGCACACAAGACGGGAGUCACCCUGUGCUUCCUGCCCAAGAUACUGACCCAUUGAACCCCAAAGCAUCUGUCUCUCCACAAAGUCCGUGGUGCCUUCCUGGUGGGCUGCAGACACUAAUGGUGUUGGGGGGUCUUGGAACAGCUUCUCUAUGUGUGGAUUCGUGUAAAUGCGAAGAGUUCACAUAUAAAGAAGUGACUUUGAUUCCGUGAUUAUAUUGAUUUGGUACACAGUAAAUGGGAGUUUAAAAAAUCCAAAGACUCUAAUGACUUGUAAAGACUCUAAUGAUUUGUAUCAUGUAAUGAACUAAACCACCUGUAAUUUUGUACCAUAUAUGUCUUUCCAUCAAAUGACCAACAGCUUCUCAAUAAAACCAGACCAUUUCUCACCUGCA